rnacentral:rRNA from 1 species
ACACGACUCUCGGCAACGGA